rnacentral:rRNA from 1 species
GACAUGCAGGUGAUCGCCGUUGAAAGACGGUUUUCCCUACUUCGGAGGCACCUGCACAGGUGCUGCAUGGCUGUCGUCAGCUCGUGUCGUGAGAGUGUUCGGGUUAAGUCCCGCAACGAGCCGCAACCCUUAUCCCCAGUUGCCAUCAGGUAAAGCUGGGAACUCUGGGGAGACUGCCGGUGAUAAACCGGAGGAAGCGGGAUGACGUCAAGUCCUCAUGGCCCUUACAUCCCGGGCUACACACGUGCUACAAUGGCAGGUACAGAGGGCUGCAAAGCCGCGAGGUAGAGCGAAAUCCCAGAAAACCUGUCUCAGUCCGGAUUGAAGUCUGCAACUCGACUCCAUGAAGUUGGAAUCGCUAGUAAUCGCGUAUCAGCAUGACGCGGUGAAUACGUUCCCGGGCCUU